GGAGACACGGCAGCGCUGAUGGAUGUGCCGUGCACCAGGCGCAGACUUCUCAGGGAUGCUAGCUAGGGAUGUAUCUCCUUAAACCGAAGGCAAAGAGAAGCACAGGGAAGCUCAGGACUUCGGAUGCUCAGCAGGGAAAGGCCCAUCAGGAAUGCACUUUGGAAGCAGGAGGAUGACUAGGAGGAGAAAACAGGACAUGAAGCCGUGGUCACGUCCUCUCACCCCUGCCUGAGGUUGGGGCUUGUCUCCCCGCAUGAGGUGAAGAGGAAAGGGAGUGCUUUCCCACGCAGACCUCGGAAAUUCAAAGGUGCCGUAUUUCUCUCCUGGCACCUCGGCGGGCACUGCGUUGCCUCCCUCCAAGGCCACCUCCUCACGAAGUCUUCAGCCUUUGCAUCCUCACCUCCCAGCCAUUUGGGGUGAGAGACUGUGGCUUUGGGGCUCGGGCAGUGCAGCCAACCCAUCCCAGGGCACACAGAGCACAUCUGGAGGCAGCUGCACCGGGGACCGCCUGCCUUCAGCCUGCGGAAGGGGAGCAGAGGCAAACCAGCUAUUUUGGGGGCUCCAAAAUAUUAUUAUCCCAAAGAGAAGUUGUAUUUACCAGGGCCAGAAGAGCCUCUCUCUGCACAUUCCAGGCUCGGGAAGUCUGCAAGAUCCCAGAGCGGCCGCUCUGGGAGGGGAAAAAAAAUCUCCUUUAGUCAGCUCAAAUGCUGGCCAGAGGUUUGCAGCCCAGUCCAGACACUGGAGAGCCGACCUUAAACGUUUCUGGGGCUGAAAGGGAGAUCUGCAGCCAGCUAAUGCUGGGAGAGACGGCUGAGCUUCCCAGCUCCAGUCCUGGCCCUCGAGGCGGGCGAGAAGCGGCUGGGAGGACGGGCAUGGCUUCGCAAGCCCCGGCGGCAUGCCAGCCCAUCCCGGAGAGGGGAAACCAGUUCACCCUGGCCUCGGGAAUUAGGAAAAUGUUGUCAGUUCGGGGCUGUGCUGCGAGGAAAAGUCUCCAGUGCAAAGGUCCAAGCACCCGUCUCCAGCCUCGUUAGCCGGUUAAAGCAUCAGAUGGAAACUAUGCUGCCCCGUCAGAAACUUAUCCUCUUUCGGACUCCUGGUUUUUUGGCUCCCAGAGCCUGGCAAGGCGGCAGGAGGAGGGGGGGAAGUGUCGUCAGUGUAGGUGGUGAAACACAUCAUUCACCCCGUCAGAGGUACCGCAGCUAGGAAUGGGUGAUGGAGGCAGCAGAGGUAAGGCACCAGGAGCUGCUUCUGGCACGCCCCCAGCCUCCUUCUCUGCAUCUCUUGGAGGAGCACAUCCCCAAGCACAGGGAUCUCUUUAUCACCCCUAAAACACGGUAACAGCCUGUUGCAGAAGCACAUCCAACCAGGCUGGGCAACCACAGCCGGGCAGACCCUGCUCCGGCAAACCACAGGCUCUGGGCUGCCUGCUCUGUAGCCUUCUUUCUCCUAACUUUGUUUUCUUUCCCCAAAGCUGUCCAUCCAUCUUCAGCUUUUCCUAAAAAAUAAAACUAAAUUAAAUAAAAUAUUCUUUCUCAUUUCA